GAACCCUGAUGGACAACAGAAACUCAAUGUAACGGCCCAUAAAAUAGCUCAGGGGUAGCCAACUCUGCUUCUUGAGGGCUAUCAUCCUGCAGAUUUCAGCUCUAACCCAGUCAAACACAUCUAAACCAGCUAAUCAAGUCUUGAGUGUUUCAACAUCUCUUCUCUCGAGUGAGAUCAACUCCUCUGCCAAAGACCUCAGCAGGUCAUCUGUGAGAGGUCCAUCGCCAACCUCAUCUAGAAAGCUGUGGUACACAGGUGAUACUGUUCCGUUACUUGUCCAGGUUGAUAUUCCCAUGGCGUCUCCAGUCCUUCAAACAGAUCCACAUCCCUUACAGCCAGCAUCAGUGGGGUGGCCAAUACUGAUCCAUCAGAGAACUCCCUGUGGAUUCUAGCCUGCUUUGUGUGAACCUAAGGUUGAUAUCGCAUUACUAAUAGUCAAAUGGCAAGUUGAAGUUGAAGUCUGAGCUGCUCACCAUCAGGUCCUGUAGACAGCAGAGGUCUCCCCUCCAGGCUGCUAGUGAGAGCUGCUUCUGAUGGGUAAGACCCGUCCUGCAGGCACCGAUAAGAGGAGUGGAUCCCUGUGAAUCAUGAGGCAGGUCAAUCUCUUCCCAGGCGUAGACUCCCUGCUCCAGUCCCAGAGCCACAGCCUCGAGCUCGUCCUUCAGCAG